rnacentral:rRNA from 1 species
CCUACGGGACGCAGCAGUGGGGAAUAUUGGGCAAUGGAGGCAACUCUGACCCAGCCACGCCGCGUGAGUGAAGAAGGUUUUCGGAUUGUAAAGCUCUUUCGGCUGUGACGAUGAUGACGGUAGCCUCUAAAGACGCCCCGGCUAACUCCGUGCCAGCAGCCGCGGUAAUACGGAGGGGGCAAGCGUUGUUCGGAAUUACUGGGCGUAAAGGGAGUGUAGUCGGGCUGGUAAGAUAGUGGUGAAAUCCGAGGGCUUAACUUCGGAACUGCCAUUAUAACUAUUAGACUAGAAUUACAGAGAGGCUAGUGGAAUACCCAGUGUAGAGGUGAAAUUCGUAGAUAUUGGGUAGAACACCAGUGGCGAAGGCGACUAGCUGGAUGUAAACUGACGCUGAGGCUCGAAAGCAUGGGGAUCAAACAGGAUUAGAUACCCCUGUAGUC